rnacentral:rRNA from 1 species
AUUGAACGCUGGCGGCAGGCUUAACACAUGCAAGUCGAGCGAGCGGCGGACGGGUGAGUAAUGUCUGGGAAACUGCCUGAUGGAGGGGGAUAACUACUGGAAACGGUAGCUAAUACCGCAUACCAUCAGAUGUGCCCAGAUGGGAUUAGCUAGUCGGUGGUGUAAUGGAUCACCUAGGCGACGAUCCCUAGCUGGUCUGAGAGGAAGACCAGGCACACAAGGACAGAGAAGCGGUCCAGACUCCUACGGGAGGAAGGAGGUGGGAAUAUGGCACCAUGUGCGCAAGCCUAAUGAAGCCAUGCCGCGUGGGUGAAGAAGGCCUACGGGUUGUAAAGCACUUUCAGCGAGGAGGCGUUACUCGCAGAAGAGACACCGGCUAAAUCCGUGCCAGCGGCCGCGGUAAUUC